rnacentral:rRNA from 1 species
ACUCCUGCGGGAGGCAGCAGUGGGGAAUUUUGGACAAUGGGCGAAAGCCUGAUCCAGCACUGCCGCGUGAGUGAAGAAGGCCUUCGGGUUGUAAAGCUCUUUUGUCAGGGAAGAAACGGUGAAAGCUAAUAUCUUUUGCUAAUGACGGUACCUGAAGAAUAAGCACCGGCUAACUACGUGCCAGCAGCCGCGGUAAUACGUAGGGUGCAAGCGUUAAUCGGAAUUACUGGGCGUAAAGCGUGCGCAGGCGGUUUUGUAAGUCUGAUGUGAAAUCCCCGGGCUCAACCUGGGAAUUGCAUUGGGGACUGCAAGGCUAGAAUCUGGCAGAGGGGGGUAGAAUUCCACGUGUAGCAGUGAAAUGCGUAGAUAUGUGGAGGAACACCGAUGGCGAAGGCAGCCCCCUGGGUCAAGAUUGACGCUCAUGCACGAAAGCGUGGGGAGCAAACAGGAUUAGAUACCCUUGUAGUCCCAUGA